GCGUCGGCGGCGUGUGCCAGUGCGAGCCUGGCUGGUGGGGGCGGAACUGUCGGCGCUCAUAUGGCUCAUCUGAAGAAUCCAGUGAACGUAAACCCAGACCGCGAUGAUGAAAUAAAAUUAUUGUUGCAAAUAAUAUAACUAUUUACUUAAUAAGUAAUGAUGUGAUUUCUUAAUUUUAUUAUUUUAAUUUUUAUAUACAUAACUUUAUGUAAAUGAAAUACUUAUUAAUAAUUAGUCAUUUAGAUUGUAAGUUCUAUGUCAUUUAGGUUAAAAAAAAUGCAAUAUAAAAUGAUAAGAGAUUAUAA
rnacentral:lncRNA from 1 species